rnacentral:lncRNA from 1 species
UUCUAAUAGAAAACAAUUUUCGCCUUCCAUUCAAGUCUGAUUCACAUGCAGUUAUUAAUUUUCUUUUAGGAAUACUCUUUAAAGUGAUUAUGAAUUAUUUCUAAUCUUUUUAGAGGAAAUGCUUCAAUACACCAAGUAAAAUAAAUCUAGCCGUUCAUAUUUCAAGGGCGAGAUUGACUUUUGCAUAGUAGUUACCUGCUCAACAGGUUACUAUUCGUAAGGGUAAUAUGGAAAAAUAAAUACAAGGUUAUUACCAAAUUUGAUCAACCCUACACAAAUAUUUGUUUUCUUGUUUAAUUUUGUUA